GCGGCGGACGGGUGAGUAACACGUGGGUAACCUGCCUGUAAGACUGGGAUAACUCCGGGAAACCGGGGCUAAUACCGGAUGCUUGAUUGAACCGCAUGGUUCAAUUAUAAAAGGUGGCUUUUAGCUACCACUUACAGAUGGACCCGCGGCGCAUUAGCUAGUUGGUGAGGUAACGGCUCACCAAGGCAACGAUGCGUAGCCGACCUGAGAGGGUGAUCGGCCACACUGGGACUGAGACACGGCCCAGACUCCUACGGGAGGCAGCAGUAGGGAAUCUUCCGCAAUGGACGAAAGUCUGACGGAGCAACGCCGCGUGAGUGAUGAAGGUUUUCGGAUCGUAAAACUCUGUUGUUAGGGAAGAACAAGUACCGUUCGAAUAGGGCGGUACCUUGACGGUACCUAACCAAAAAGCCACGGCUAACUACUUGCCACCACCCGCGGUAAUAC
rnacentral:rRNA from 1 species